CACGGAGUUAGCCGGAGCUUAUUCUCCAGGUACUGUCAUUAUCAUCCCUGGUAAAAGAGCUUUACAACCCUAAGGCCUUCAUCACUCACGCGGCAUUGCUGGAUCAGGGUUUCCCCCAUUGUCCAAUAUUCCCCACUGCUGCCUCCCGUAGGAGUCUGGGCCGUGUCUCAGUCCCAGUGUGGCUGAUCAUCCUCUCAGACCAGCUAAGGAUCGUCGGCUUGGUAGGCCAUUACCCCACCAACUACCUAAUCCUACGCGGGCUCAUCCCUUGCCGAUAAAUCUUUGGUCCGAAGACAUCAUCCGGUAUUAGCAGCAAUUUCUCACUGUUAUUCCGAAGCAAGGGGCAGAUUCCCACGCGUUACGCACCCGUGCGCCACUAGAUCCGAAGAUCUCGUUCGACUUGCAUGUGUUAGGCAUGCCGCCAGCGUUCGUUCUGAGCCAGGAUCAAACUC
rnacentral:rRNA from 1 species